UACGAAGGGUGCGAGCGUUAAUCGGAAUUACUGGGCGUAAAGCGCGCGUAGGUGGUUUGAUAAGCGAUAUGUGAAAGCCCUGGGCUCAACCUAGGAACUGCAUGUCGAACUGUCAGGCUAGAGUAUGGUAGAGGGGUGUGGAAUUUCCUGUGUAGCGGUGAAAUGCGUAGAUAUAGGAAGGAACAUCAGUGGCGAAGGCGACACCCUGGACCGAUACUGACACUGAGGCGCGAAAGCGUGGGUAGCGAACAGGAUUAGAUACCCUGGUAGUCCACGCCGUAAACGAUGUCAACUAGCCGUUGGGGGGCUUGUCCCUUCAGUGGCGGAGCUAACGCGAUAAGUUGACCGCCUGGGGAGUACGGCCGCAAGGUUAAA
rnacentral:rRNA from 1 species